rnacentral:rRNA from 1 species
UCGGCCUACGGGAGGCAGCAGUGGGGGAUAUUGCACAAUGGGGGAAACCCUGAUGCAGCGACGCCGCGUGGGUGAAGAAGCGCCCCGGCGCGUAAAGCCCUGUCAGCAGGGAAGAUAAUGACGGUACUUGAGGAGGAAGCCCCGGCUAACUACGUGCCAGCAGCCGCGGUAAUACGUAGGGGGCUAGCGUUAUCCGGAUUUACUGGGUGUAAAGGGGGCGCAGACGGCGAUGCAAGCCAGGAGUGAAAGCCCGGGGCCCAACCCCGGGACUGCUCUUGGAACUGCGUGGCUAGAGUGCAGGAGGG